CUCUCUCUCUCUCUCUCUCUCUCUCUCUCUGUCUCUCCCCUGCCCUUCCCCUCUGCUCAUGGAUCCCUCCUGUAGCAGGGACCCCAAAAGCCAAAUUUCGAAUAUGGGGCUCAGUCUCUAGGCAGAAAUAAUCCUGCUGUGAAAGAGGUCCUGGCCAAGACCAUUCCUCCCAGUAGAGCAGCCCCUGCCUCUUACAGGCUGCAGCUGUAUGAGCCAUUGCCAUGGUGAUGGGAAUGGGAGGAAAGAAGCAUCUCCAUUACACGCAGGAGCAGGGUGUAGUGGGCUUCCCCCACCUGGGAAACACAGAAGGAAGUAACCAAGCUGGUUUCCUAGUGUCUUCAAUGAAAGGCACAGCUGCAGGGACUCUGUUCUGGGAUGGCAAUUGAGCCUCAAUUGAGCUUCAAGCCCCCACCCUGGACAGCAGCUCACUCCAGAGACCUGAAGCCUGGAGGAGCCCAGAGAAUCACAGCCCAAGGUCAAACACCUGACUGUCGGCUGAGCUAGCAUCCUCUCUCGAGGAGAAAGCUCGCGGCCUCUAUCCAGUGGAUCCAGACAGCCAGAACAGAGCCCAAAGGCUUCCCUGUCUGCAAAAGGGUUCCACCUCCACGCCAUCUAGCUGAGACUGCCACAGAGACAGAUCUGCCAAUGACCAUCUUCCCGGGGAGCCACAGACCCAACCUGGGGACUUCAACCAGAUGAGCAGGACAACAAUCAGCACAGAGAGGAAAAUUCUGGGUCUGUCCUCUUGGCCCCAGUCCUCCAGAACUUGGCUCUUAAGUGUCUGCCUCAAUCACUUCCUGAGGUAUUAUGGGUUCCCUCUUAGGCACACAUACACUUUCACAGGGAAUUCUGGAAGGCUGAAAAGCUUUGGAGACCUGAUUCAACAAUUCAAGAAAACAAUACACACAAUGACCACAACAAUGGAAAAUGAAGGAAGAACAGCCAAACAAUUAAACCUGCAGGUUAUCAAUUAUAAUGGCCAAGCUUGGUCCCAAGGAAGGAAAAUAAACAGACGCCUCCCUCUGUUCCUUAGAAGAGGUGGAGAGCCAUGAGCAGGGAAAAUUACAUACAUAACACAUUAAAGGUGACUGUCUGCUGGA